AUAGAUAUAGAAUAUGGUGUGUCGGCAUGCAUGUCCAAAUCAACAGGUGGGACACCAUCAGUAGAAUCCCUCGAGCUCAAAGCUCUAAUCAUACUCUCUCUCUCACCGCACCACCUCAUCAUGACUAGAAGCUUGUCAAGCCUCUUUAAGUCGCCUCUUAUUUCUCACAUCUCAUGCCUUGGCCUCGAUAUCAGUACCAAUCUCUUCACAUGGGAUCUUUUCAAAUGCCCAUGGUAUCUCUUUCUCCAUAAAGAUAUUAAUAGUGAAAGUCGGGAGGAUAGGCAAAGAUAGAAGUGAUGGUGCCGGUGUGGUAGCCAAAAUAGUGACCUCAGACUAGAGCAUCUCUAUCUCAGUUUGUAUGUUAGUCUAAUCCGAGAUCAUUGCGGUCCUAAAGUGUUCAGUCACCCUCUGCUCAAAGGCUUGGUAAGUAAAUGACUUCAAUAAUAGUGACACUUCAAUUUCACUAUGGAGACUGUUUUGCAUCUGAUCCUGAGCUAAGGUGGAAGAGAAGAGCUACAGUUACUCAAAGGCAGCUACAAAAAGAGCAUUAUAGAAGAUCAAACUCUUCUACAAGCAUUCAAGCCACAAUUGACACUAGUGUCACCAAGAUUCAUUCCACACCAUGAACUCAAGGCACACAGUAGAUUUCUCUAGCUU